UUUUUUUUCCUUUCAGCAAGUAGCACCGGAUACAAGUGAUUUCGAAUCACAUUUGCAGCCUUAUGCAGACGUGUAUUUCGAGUCUAAGCUUAAGGAGAAAAAGGUAUGUGACUUGUGCAUAUUCAUGGUAGCCCCGACCCCAAGGUGUGAUUGUACCUUUGCUUUUAGCAGCACCUCAAGGAUGGGGGAUAAAGAGAGACUGGAAUGUAGAAUUGCAGAUUUUUUGGGUUUCUUGCUUGCUUAAACCGAGGAUAAUACAGCCUUACUAGGAGAGACUUUAACACAAGUAGUCAUGUCCUUCUUAACGUGGCUUAGUUUCUAACUACCAAAUUUGAUAAUAACAAUCUAUCUGGAAAUGGCCGAAACUCAAGAGACAACUAUCGUCUGGAAAUGGCCUAAACUCCUCAAGAGGUAACUAUCUUUAGAUGAGCUGAUAUGCUGGCUGGUGUACCUCCAAGGACUGUUACACCCAUGAGGAGCUGUGGUUUCCAUUUCCUUGGUGGAAUGUCCCUUCAAAAAUUCCUAGCCGAUAACCAUCACUUGCAUGUCAACACCCUAUGAAAUCCAUCUAGAAUCUAGUUAAAAGAUGGUUUCAUAUUAAUCAAGUUCUUCUGUCAAAAGAACCAUUCUUCAUAAGGACUAGUUUGCUCUUUUUCCUCCAUUCCGGCUGCAUUGUUACAAGAAUAAUUUCCGUCAUAAAGUAUCAUGAUGCAUCCCUUGUUUGUGUUUUCGUUUUUGACUGUGUAAUCUGAGAUAGCAUAGUUCAAUAUUCUCAAACUGGUUCAAAUCCUGCACCUAGGUCGGUGGUGGUUGCUUAUGCAAACCAUAAACCCAUGAAAAAUAGAAAUUUGACCGAGGUGGUCUUCUUAAAUUUUUAAUCAAAAUUGUUUCUUUUUCAGUAUUAUUUCGCAAUUGAGCAAAUACACUUGCGUAAAAAGUUCGACAGACAUUUGGCUUCUGGUGUGCUAGAUGGCCGUAUGGAUGUGUUUAGAUCUUCGAAGGUAAUCGUCCGCGCCCUAAAUGUAGCACAAUGCAGUUCUACACAUUUUUAAAAAUUUUUUUUAACGAAAAUGCUGAUGGAGNNNNNNNNNNNNNNNNNNNNNNNNNNNNNNNNNNNNNNNNNNNNNNNNNNNNNNNNNNNNNNNNNNNNNNNNNNNNNNNNNNNNNNNNNNNNNNNNNNNNNNNNNNNNNNNNNNNNNNNNNNNNNNNNNNNNNNNNNNNNNNNNNNNNNNNNNNNNNNNNNNNNNNNNNNNNNNNNNNNNNNNNNNNNNNNNNNNNNNNNNNNNNNNNNNNNNNNNNNNNNNNNNNNNNNNNNNNNNNNNNNNNNNNNNNNNNNNNNNNNNNNNNNNNNNNNNNNNNNNNNNNNNNNNNNNNNNNNNNNNNNNNNNNNNNNNNNNNNNNNNNNNNNNNNNNNNNNNNNNNNNNNNNNNNNNNNNNNNNNNNNNNNNNNNNNNNNNNNNNNNNNNNNNNNNNNNNNNNNNNNNNNNNNNNNNNNNNNNNNNNNNNNNNNNNNNNNNNNNNNNNNNNNNNNNNNNNNNNNNNNNNNAGCAGUUUUAUAUGUGCAGUCCUCCACUAGGUGGACAUGCCUCCUCUUUCGCCUGAACUAAGCUUUCCUAGUCUGGUUCUCUUGGUCCGUUGAGGAGGGAGAUGGCCUUGCCUCGUCCCGCUCUCUGCCAUACCGCUGCUUCUUCAAUCAUCCGUUCCACCACCGUCGUCUGCGGCGAUGGUUGGUUUCUGAAAAUCCUUGCGUUGCGUUCGUUCCAUAUCGACCACCAGACCAGCUGCACGAGUGCGCUCCAUGGCUUCUUUGCUGAUGCCGUAAGGAUGCCAUUGGACUGGUCGAUCCAACGCAUCAGGGAGGUUGUGGUGGUGGAGGGAGCGAGGCCUGGAUGAAGGUUGCAGCGAGCAAUGAUGUCGUGCCAAAUUCGGAUGGAGACGGGACAGGAAGCAAGCAGGUGCACGACAUCUUCCAUUGGCCCAUUGCAGAGAGAGCAAGACGGAUUGUGAGGCCAGCCUUUCCUCGCAAGAACAUCGGACGUGUUGCAGCGUCCCAGCAGAGCCAACCAUGCAAAAAGCUUGCAUUUGCCCGGUGCAUCCGAUUUCCAAAGGAACGCAGCCCACGAAGGCCGAGUGCAGCCCUCAAACUGAAUUUUGUAAGCCGAUCUCGCCGUGUAUAUGCCGUUUGCUGUCCAUUUCCACUGAACUCGAUCGGGCUCUUGUGUUAACUGAAUAUUUUGUGUUUCCUCCCACAGAUUCAGGAACUCCCUCGUCGCCUGUGCAGAGAGGUUGGCUUUGAGGUGUCGGAUCCAUCUGUUGUUCUCCAAUGCUUGUGCAACGGUGAGGUUUUUCCUGGUGCAAUGCUGGAAUAGUGCUGGGAAGGCGUCGUGGAGGGUGAUGCCCUUACACCACGGCUCCUUCCAAAAGAGAAUGCGGUCACCCUUGCCCAGCUGGAAGUGAACAGAUGCGUUGAACAGGGAUCUGACCGUGUGGUCGAUAGGCAAAUCCAGCCCCUGCCAUGCCUUGUUGCCGUCGGUCCAUGAUGCCGAGCCCUCCGAGAUCCUUUGGCCGACAAACAGAACCCCAGUUGACCAGGCAUUUUCCUCCAGCCGCUACUUCACUGCCCUCCCAAAGGAAUCCACGACGAACCUUGUCGAUCAGCUUAGCCAGCCAAGCAGGUAAUAUCAAGGCUAGCAUUUGGAAGAUCGGCAUCGCCGAGAGCACGGUCCUUACCAAGUCCAGCCGACCAUCAAGGGAAAGAAAUGCAGGCUUCCAGCCCUUCAUCCUUGCAAUGAGCUUGUCGCAGAUCGGCUGUAGGUCAUUCUUCUUCAGUUUCUUGUCCGACAGUGGCAUGCCCAGGUAGGUGCAUGGAAAUUCGUUGAUGGGGCAGCCCAAGUCUUGUAGAAGUUCAUGGAGGUCGAUCCCGUCGCAGCAGAUAGUGGAGACCGAAGAUUUUGCAAAAUUAGUGUGCAGACCCGUAGCUUCUCCGAACAGCUUCAGAAUUUUUGUCAGAGCAAGUACUUCCUUGCGGCAUGGGUUGAUGAACAAGAUUGCGUCGUCUGCAUACAGAGAAGUCCGGAAGGGUAGUUUGUGGUUGCCGAUCGGUCCCAAAAUUCCGGCCCUUACCGCCUUGUCGAUGAGCAUAGCAAGGCAGUCCAUGACCAGCACGAACAGGAGCGGUGACAAUGGGUCUCCCUGCCUUAGUCCCUUCACCAGGUUGAUCGGGUCGGAUAGAUCACCAUUGACAAGGAUCCUUGUCGAAGAGGAGCUGAGAAGUGCUGACAGACAGUUGGUGAAUCCUCUCCCAAACCCUCCCGCAGCAAGCAGCUCAAGCAGGAACUCCCAUGAGACAGUAUCUUUGUAAAGGAUCUUGUUCAGAACGAGAUGGCGAGAAUGCAGCUUUCAGAUUUGCACCAUGAACUCAUAAAGUUAUCUUUGGAGGUACUAAUUGUUCAUUUUACAGUUCAUGGCUUUUUUACUUUUUUAAUAUUGCAUUAACAAGUUGCUCCUCUUUAUAGCGGAGAGAUGAGCUUGUGAAAAUCCAGCAUCAAGUUAUCACAUAUUCUGAGCGGAGAGAUGAGACAGUAAACGAGGAGAUCACAUUGGCGGCAUACAUACUGUGGAACUUAUGGAAGGAGCGAAACAAAAGAAUUUUCGAGCUGAAGGAAUUAUCAGCUAUUGCUCUUAUGGGCCUAAUUCAAGAGGACCUUAGAUGCUUCAGGGAAGCCUGGAGGGAGAGAGUGUGAGUGUUCUUUGUCGCUUUGUUUUAGUGUGUAUGAGUGGCUUUCAGUACGCUGAUGUAGGAAUGUCAAAACUCGGACUUUCCCCAAAGGGGAAUCCGUUCUGUACCCUUUUUCUUCCCCUACUAUAAUGCAAAGGCAGAGCUCCUGCCAUUCACGUCAAAAAGAAGCCUCUUAAAGAAUGAGCCGGUAUGCAAAAUAAUAUUUCAUGCAAUUUAUGGUGACGUGUUGUUAAAACAACUUUACUUACUAUUUUCAAUUGAAAAUCUUGUUCUUGUACUUUAAGUCGCUAUCUUGUUCGUCAUAUAUGGUUAUAUAUUUUACAAAUGAUGGAAGAUCAUAUACCUUCAAUCAUGUACUCAUAGUCUGCACCUUCCAGUUUUUGUUGUGAAGGUCCAAAUGUCUGGUACGAGAGGAGAGGUCUUGACGUACCAUCAUCACCAGCUCCCCAUUACCGAAAAAGGCUUUAGCCUCGCUUUAUAUACUCCCUCCGUCCCAAAAUUCUUGUCUUAAAUUUAUCUAGAUACGGAUAAAUCUAAUACUGAAACAUGACUUGAUACAUCCGUAUUUAGACAAGAAUUUUGGGACGGAGGGAGUAUAAAGCAACCGCCCAAGCCAAACAUCCAACAAGGUUCACACACACACACAAGUCUCACAAACACACAUAGUAGCAAAUAGGGUUAAUGCUGAGGGCACAACUCAACAAGCCCUGAAAACAAAACAACACACUCACACACAGCAACCCGAGCAGCAUGUCUAAUCGGGCUGCGGAGGAGGGGGCGGCAGCGGGGGCGCCACGCGGAAGGCCAUCGAGCGAAGGUCGGUGAGGAGGGUGUUGAUGGCGUCCCGGUCCUGGGGGUGGCUAAGCAGCCGCCAGAGCUGCAAGUAACCACACAUUUUGAAGAUCGCGUCAGUUGCACGUCGGAGAGGCACUUUCUGAAUAACAAGCUUUUUGCGGAUGGUCCAAAGCGUCCAGGCGAGGACCCCAACGCACAACCAUCUAAUAUGGCGGUAGCGAGGGGGGGAGGCGUGGAUCUCCGCAAGCAAGUCUGGGAAGUUGGUGUUGCACCACUAUCCACCGACCGUCUCGCGGAAGCAGGACCACAGGAACUGGGCUGUGGAGCAAGAGAAGAUGUGGUUAGCAUCCUCCACCGUGCCACACAGGGGACAAAUCCCAUCUCCUGGUCCAUUACGCUUGAGGACCUCUACCCCAGAGGGAAGGCGUCCCCGGAUCCACUGCCACAGGAAGAUCCUGAUCUUCAGAUGCAGGCGAAUGUCCCAGAUCAGGCUAAAGGGCUCAAGGGCCGACGAGGGGGCGAUGGCCGUGUAUAAGGACUUAGUGGAGAAGCGGCCGAAGGGCUCCAGUCGCCAAGAGAUGGAGUCAGGGGCGCCCUCGACGUCCAUCGGAAGAAGGGCGAUGUCCUGGAGGAGGGAGUCCCAAGCGGCCACCUCAAGGGGGGCGAAGGGGCGCCGGAAAGCGAGACGCCCUAAGUCAAUAAGGGCCGUCUCGAUAGAGACCCGAGGGUCAACCGCUAUGGCGAAUAGAUCCGGGAAUCGAGCGGCCAGGGGGGGUCCCCUAACCAACAAUCGAACCAGAACAGGGUCGAGGACCCGGAGCCAACCGAGAUGGACGUGUCGAUGCGGAGCACGGGUAGUAGCUGAAUCACAGCCUGCCAGAACUGGGAGCCACCAGAACGCUGACAGAAAGCUAGAGGUUGGCCCCGAAGGUACUUAUUUUGGAUGAUGGUAAGCCAUAGUCCUCCCUCCCCAUUGGUGAUUCGCGAGAGCCAUCGGGUUAGGAGAGCAAUGUUCAUGCGCCGAGAAGACAAGAUCCCAAGUCCACCCUGGUGUUGGAAAUACGCCCUAGAGGCAAUAAUAAAAUGGUUAUUAUUAUAUUUCCUUGUUCAUGAUAAUUGUCUAUUGUUCAUGCUAUAAUUGUGUUAUCCGGAAAUCGUAAUACAUGUGUGAACACAUAGACCAUAACGUGUCCCUAGUGAGCCUCUAGUUGACUAGCUCGUUGAUCAAUAGAUGGUUACGGUUUCCUGACCAUGGACAUUGGAUGUCAUUGAUAACGGGAUCACAUCAUUAGGAGAAUGAUGUGAUGGACAAGACCCAAUCUUAAGCAUAGCACUAGAUCGUGUAGUUCGUUUGCUGAAGCUUUUCUAAUGUCAAGUAUCGUUUCCUUAGACCAUGAGAUCGUGCAACUCCCGGAUACCGUAGGAAUGCUUUGGGUGUACCAAACGUCACAACGUAACUGGGUGGCUAUAAAGGUGCACUACAGGUAUCUCCGAAAGUGUCUGUUGGGUUGGCUCGGAUCGAGACUGGGAUUUGUCACUCCGUAUGACGGAGAUGUAUCUCUGGGCCCACUCGGUAUUGCAUCAUCAUAAUGAGCUCAAUGUGACUAAGUAGUUAGUCAGGGGAUCAUGCAUUACGGAACGAGUAAAGUGACUUGCCGGUAACGAGAUUGAACGAGGUAUUGGGGUACCGACGAUCGAAUCUCAGGCAAGUAACGUACCGAUUGACAAAGGGAAUUGUAUACGGGAUUACUUGAAUCCUCGACAUCGUGGUUCAUCCGAUGAGAUCAUCGAGGAGCAUGUGGGAGCCAACAUGGGUAUCCAGAUCCCGCUGUUGGUUAUUGACCGGAGAGUCGUCUCGGUCAUGUCUGCGUGUCUCCCGAACACGUAGGGUCUACACAGUUAAGGUUCGGUGACGCUAGGGUUGUAGAGAUAUUAGUAUGCGGUAACCCGAAAGUUGUUCGGAGUCCCGGAUGAGAUCCCGGACAUCACGAGGAGUUCCGGAAUGGUCCGGAGGUAAAGAUUUGUAUAUAGGAAGUCCAGUUUCGGCCACCGGGAAAGUUUCAGGGGUCACCGGUAUUGUACCGGGACCACCGGAAGGGUCCCGGGGGUCCACCGGGUGGGGCCACCUAUCCCGGAGGGCCCCAUGGGCUGAAGUGGGAAGGGAACCAGCCCCUGGUGUGCUGGUGCGCCCCCCCCAUGGGCCUCCCCCUGCGCCUAGGGUUGGAAACCCUGGGGUUGGGGGGCGCCCCACCUGACUUGGGGGGCGCCCCACCUGACUUGGGGGGCAAGUCCCCCCUUGGCCGCCGCCCCCCUUGAGAUGGGAUCUCCAGGGGCCGGCGCCCCCCAGGGCCCCUAUAUAAAGAGGGGGGAGGGAGGGCUGUGCACCUAAGCCCCUGGCGCCUCCCUCUCCCCCCGUAACACCUUUCCCUCUCGCUGAGCUUGGCGAAGCCCUGCCGAGAUCCCCGCUGCUUCCACCACCACGCCGUCGUGCUGCUGUAUCUCCAUCAACCUCUCCUUCCCCCUUGCUGGAUCAAGAAGGAGGAGACGUCUCUCCCAACCGUACGUGUGUUGAACGCGGAGGUGCCGUCCGUUCAGCGCUAGGAUCAUCGGUGAUUUGGAUCACGACGAGUACGACUCCAUCAACCCCGUUCUUUUGAACGCUUCCGCUCGCGAUCUACAAGGGUAUGUAGAUGCACUCCUUCCCUCUCGUUGCUAGUAAACUCCAUAGAUUGAUCUUGGUGAUGCGUAGAAAAAUUUAAAUUUCUGCUACGAUCCCCAACAGUGGCAUCAUGAGCUAGGUCUAUGCGUAGUUUCUAUGCACGAGUAGAACACAAGUUGUUGUGGGCGUUGAUUUUGUCAAUUUACUUGCCGUUACUAGUCUUAUCUUGAUUCGGCGGCAUCAUGGGAUGAAGCGGCCCGGACCGACCUUACACGUACGCUUACGUGAGACAGGUUCCACCGACUGACAUGCACUAGUUGCAUAAGGUGGCUAGCGGGUGUCUGUCUCUCCCACUUUAGUCGGAUCGGAUUCGAUGAAAAGGGUCCUUAUGAAGGGUAAAUAGAAAUUGGCAUAUCACGUUGUGGUUUUGGCGUAGGUAAGAAUCGUUCUUGCUAGAAACCUAUAGCAGCCACGUAAAAGUUUGCAACAACAAUUAGAGGACGUCUAACUUGUUUUUGCAGCAAGUGUCAUGUGAUGUGAUAUGGCCAGAAGGAUGUGAUGAAUGAUAUAUGUGAUGUAUGAGAUUGAUCAUGUUCUUGUAAUAGGAAUCAUGACUUGCAUGUCGAUGAGUAUGACAACCGGCAGGAGCCAUAGGAGUUGUCUUAAUUUAUUUAUGACCUGCGUGUCAACUGGAACGUCAUGUAAUUACUUUACUUUAUUGCUAACCGUUAGCCAUAGUAGUAGAAGUAAUAGUUGGCGAGACAACUUCAUGAAGACACGAUGAUGGAGAUCAUGGUGUCAUGCCGGUGACGAUGAUGAACAUGGCGCCCCGAAGAUGGAGAUCAAAAGGAGCAAAAUGAUAUUGGCCAUAUCAUGUCACUAUUUGAUUGCAUGUGAUGUUUAUCAUGUUUUACAUCUUAUUUGCUUAGAACGACGGUAGCAUAAAUAAGAUGAUCCCUCGCUAAAAUUUCAAGAAAGUGUUCCCCCUAACUGUGCACCGUUGCGAAGGUUCGUUGUUCCGAAGCACCACGUGAUGAUCGGGUGUGAUAGGUUCUAACGUUCGCAUACAACGGGUGUAAGCCAGAUUUACACACGCAAUACACUUAGGUUGACUUGACGAGCCUAGCAUGUACAGACAUGGCCUCGGAACACAAGAGACCAAAAGGUCGAACAUGAGUCGUAUAGCAGAUACGAUCAACAUGAAGUUGUUCACCGAUGAUGACUAGUCCGUCUCACGUGAUGAUCGGACACGGCCUAGUUGACUCGGAUCAUGUAACACUUAGAUGACUAGAGGGAUGUCUGUCUGAGUGGGAGUUCGUUAAUAAUUUGAUUAGAUGAACUUUAUUAUCGUGAACUUAGUCUAAAAAUCUUUACAAUAUGUCUUGUAGAUCAAAUGGCCCACGCUAAUGUUGCCCUCAACUUCAACGCGUUCCUAGAGAAAACCAAGCUAAAAGACGAUGGUAGCAACUACACGGACUGGGUCCGUAACCUGAGGAUUAUCCUCAUAGCUGCCAAGAAAGCAUAUGUCCUUGAAGCACCGCUAGGUGAUGCACCUGUUUUCCCAACAACUCAAGACGUUCUGAACGCCUGCCAGUCGCGUAGUGAUGAUUACUCCCUGGUUCAGUGCGGCAUGCUUUACAGCUUAGAACCGGGGCUCCAAAAGCGUUUUGAGCAGCACAGAGCAUAUGAGAUGUUCCAAGAGCUGAAAAUGGUUUUCCAAGCUCAUGCCCGGGUCGAGAGAUAUGAAGUCUCCGACAAGUUCUACAGUUGUAAGAUGGAGGAGAAUAGUUCCGUCAGCGAGCACAUACUCAAAAUGUCUGGGUUGCACAACCGCUUGUCUCAGCUGGGAGUUAAUCUCUCGGAUGACACGGUCGUUGACAGAAUCCUUCAGUCGCUCCCACCUAGCUACAAGAGCUUUGUGAUGAACUUCAAUAUGCAGGGGAUGGAAAAGAGCAUUCCUGAGGUAUAUUCAAUGCUGAAAUCAGCGGAGGUGGAGAUCAAAAAGGAACAUCAAGUGUUGAUGGUGAAUAAAACCACUAAGUUCAAGAAAGGCAAGGGUAAGAAGAACUUCAAGAAAGACGGCAAGGGAGUUGCCGCGCCCGGUAAGCAAGCUGCCGGGAAGAAGACAAAGAAUGGACCUAAGCCUGAGACUGAGUGCUUUUAUUGCAAGGGAAACUGUCACUGGAAGCGGAACUGCCCCAAAUACUUAGCGGAUAAGAAGGCCGGCAAUACCAAAGGUAUAUGUGAUAUACAUGUUAUUUAUGUGUACCUAACCAGCGCUCGUAGUAGCUCCUGGGUAUUUGAUACCGGUGCGGUUGCUCAUAUUUGUAACUCAAAGCAGGAGCUGCGGAAUAAGCGGAGACUGGCGAAGGACGAGGUGACGAUGCGCGUCGGGAAUGGUUCCAAGGUCGAUGUGGUCGCCGUCGGCACGCUACCUCUACAUUUACCUACGGGAUUAGUUUUAAACCUCAAUAAUUGUUAUUUAGUGCCAGCUUUGAGCAUGAACAUUGUAUCUGGAUCUCGUUUAAUGCGAGAUGGCUACUCAUUUAAAUCCGAGAAUAAUGGUUGUUCUAUUUAUAUGAGAGAUAUGUUUUAUGGUCAUGCCCCGCUGGUCAAUGGUUUAUUCUUGAUGAAUCUCGAACGUGACGUUACACAUAUUCAUAGUGUGAAUGCCAAGAAAUGUAAGGUUGAUAAUGAUAGUCCCACAUACUUGUGGCACUGCCGCCUUGGUCACAUUGGUGUCAAACGCAUGAAGAAACUCCAUGCAGAUGGACUUUUGGAGUCUCUUGAUUAUGAAUCAUUUGACAUGUGCGAACCAUGCCUCAUGGGCAAAAUGACCAAGACUCCGUUCUCCGGAACAAUGGAGCGAGCAACCAACUUAUUGGAAAUCAUACAUACUGAUGUGUGCGGUCCAAUGAGCGUUGAGGCUCGCGAUGGCUAUCGUUAUGUUCUCACCCUCACUGAUGACUUGAGUAGAUAUGGGUAUGUCUACUUAAUGAAACACAAGUCUGAGACCUUUGAAAAGUUCAAGGAAUUUCAGAGUGAGGUUGAGAAUCAACCUGAUAGGAAAAUAAAGUUCUUACUAUCAGAUCGUGGAGGGGAAUAUUUGAGUCACGAAUUUGGCACACACUUAAGGAAAUGUGGAAUUGUUCCACAACUCACGCCGCCUGGAACACCUCAGCACAAUGGUGUGUCCGAACGUCGUAAUCGCACUCUAUUGGAUAUGGUGCAAUCUAUGAUGUCACUUACCGAUCUACCGCUAUCAUUCUGGGGUUAUGCUUUAGAGACUGCCGCAUUCACUUUAAAUAGGGCUCCGUCGAAAUCCGUUGAGACGACACCGUAUGAAUUAUGGUUUGGAAAGAAACCUAAGCUAUCGUUUCUUAAAGUUUGGGGAUGCGAUGCUUAUGUCAAUAAACUUCAACCUGAAAAGCUCGAACCCAAGUCGGAAAAAUGCAUCUUCAUAGGAUACCCUAAGGAAACCAUUGGGUAUACCUUCUACCUCAGAUCCGAAGGCAAGAUCUUCGUUGCCAAGAACGGGUCCUUUCUGGAGAAAGAGUUUCUCUCGAAAGAAGUAAGUGGGAGGAAAGUGGAACUUGAUGAGAUGACCCCUCUCGAACCGGAAAGUAGUGCAGCACAAGAAAAUGUUUCUGUGGUGCCUGCACCGACUAGAGAGGAAGUUAAUGAUGACGAUCAUGAUCAAGUUACCACUGAACUUCGUAGGUCCACAAGGACACGUUCCGCACCAGAGUGGUACGGCAACCCUGUCCUGGAAAUCAUGUUGUUGGACAACGGUGAACCUUCGAACUAUGAAAAAGCAAUGGCGGGUCCAGAUUCCAACAAAUGGCUUGAAGCCAUGCAAUCCGAGAUAGGAUCCAUGUAUGAAAACAAAGUGUGGACUUUGACAGACUUGCCCGAUGAUCGGCGAGCGAUAGAAAAUAAAUGGAUCUUUAAGAAGAAGACGGACGCGGAUGGAAAUGUUACCAUCUAUAAAGCUCGACUUGUCGCUAAGGGUUAUCGACAAGUUCAAGGAGUUGACUACGAUGAGACCUUCUCACCCGUAGCGAAGCUGAAGUCCGUCCGAAUCAUGUUAGCAAUUGCCGCAUUCUACGAUUAUGAAAUAUGGCAAAUGGACAUCAAAACGGCAUUCCUUAACGGCUUCCUUAAGGAAGAAUUGUAUAUGAUGCAGCUGGAAGGUUUUGUCGAUCCUAAGAAUGCUGACAAAGUAUGCAAGCUCUAGCGCUCAAUCUAUGGGCUGGUGCAGGCAUCUCGGAGUUGGAACAUUCGCUUUGAUGAGAUGAUCAAAGCGUUUGGGUUUACACAGACUUAUGGAGAAGCCUGUGCUUACAAGAAUGUGAGUGGGAGCUCUGUAGCAUUUCUCAUAUUAUAUGUGGAUGACAUACUAUUGAUGGGAAAUGAUAUAGAUUUCUUGGAAAGUAUAAAGGCCUACUUGAAUAAGUGUUUUUCAAUGAAGGACCUCGGAGAAGCUGCUUACAUAUUAGGCAUCAAGAUCUAUAGAGAUAGAUCGAGACGCCUCAUAGGUCUUUCACAAAGCACAUACCUUGACAAGAUAUUGAAGAAGUUCAAUAUGGAUCAGUCCAAGAAGGGGUUCUUGCCUGUAUUGCAAGGUGUGAGAUUGAGGACGGCUCAAUGCCCGACCACGGCAGAAGAUAGAGAAAAGAUGAGUGUCGUCCCCUAUGCCUCGGCCAUAGGAUCUAUUAUGUAUGCCAUGCUGUGUACCAGACCUGAUGUAAACCUUGCCGUGAGUUUGGUAGGAAGGUACCAAAGUAAUCCCGGCAUGGAACACUGGACAGCGGUCAAGAACAUCCUGAAGUACCUGAAAAGGACUAAGGAUAUGUUUCUCGUUUAUGGAGGUGACGAAGAGCUCGUCGUAAAGGGUUACAUCGAUGCUAGCUUCGACAUAGAUCUGGAUGACUCUAAGUCACAAACCGGAUACGUGUAUAUUUUGAAUGUCGGGGCAGUCAGCUGGUGCAGUUGCAAGCAAAGCGUCGUGGCGGGAUCUACAUGUGCAGCGGAGUACAUGGCAGCCUCGGAGGCAGCACAUGAAGCAAUCUGGAUGAAGGAGUUCAUUGCCGACCUAGGAGUUAUUCCCAAUGCAUCGGGGCCGAUGACUCUCUUCUGUGACAACACUGGAGCUAUUGCCCUUGCCAAGGAGCCCAGGUUUCACAAGAAGACCAGGCACAUCAAGCGUCGCUUCAACUCCAUUUGUGAAAAUGUUCAAAAUGGAGACAUAGAUAUUUGUAAAGUACAUACGGAUUUGAAUGUCGCAGAUCCGUUGACUAAACCUCUUCCACGGGCAAAACAUGAUCAACACCAGAACUCUAUGGGUGUACGAUUCAUCACAAUGUAACUAGAUUAUUGACUCUAGUGCAAGUGGGAGACUGUUGGAAAUAUGCCCUAGAGGCAAUAAUAAAAUGGUUAUUAUUAUAUUUCCUUGUUCAUAAUAAUUGUCUAUUGAUCAUGCUAUAAUUGUGUUAUCCGGAAAUCGUAAUACAUGUGUGAACACAUAGACCAUAACGUGUCCCUAGUGAGCCUCUAGUUGACUAGCUCGUUGAUCAAUAGAUGGUUACGGUUUCCUGACCAUGGACAUUGGAUGUCAUUGAUAACGGGAUCACAUCAUUAGGAGAAUGAUGUGAUGGACAAGACCCAAUCCUAAGCAUAGCAGUAGAUCGUGUAGUUCGUUUGCUGAAGCUUUUCUAAUGUCAAGUAUCGUUUCCUUAGACCAUGAGAUCGUGCAACUCCCGGAUACCGUAGGAAUGCUUUGGGUGUACCAAACGUCACAACGUAAUUGGGUGGCUAUAAAGGUGCACUACAGGUAUCUCCGAAAGUGUCUGUUGGGUUGGCUCGGAUCGAGACUGGGAUUUGUCACUCCGUAUGACGGAGAGGUAUCUCUGGGCCCACUCGGUAUUGCAUCAUCAUAAUGAGCUCAAUGUGACUAAGUAGUUAGUCACGGGAUCAUGCAUUACGGAACGAGUAAAGUGACUUGCCGGUAACGAGAUUGAACGAGGUAUUGGGGUACCGACGAUCGAAUCUUGGGCAAGUAACGUACCGAUUGACAAAGGGAAUUGUAUACGGGAUUACUUGAAUCCUCGACAUCGUGGUUCAUCCGAUGAGAUCAUCGAGGAGCAUGUGGGAGCCAACAUGGGUAUCCAGAUCCCGCUGUUGGUUAUUGACCGGAGAGUCGUCUCGGUCAUGUCUGCGUGUCUCCCAAACAUGUAGGGUCUACACAGUUAAGGUUCGGUGACGCUAGGGUUGUAGAGAUAUUAGUAUGCGGUAACCCGAAAGUUGUUCGGAGUCCCAGAUGAGAUCCCGGACAUCACGAGGAGUUCCGGAAUGGUCCGGAGGUAAAGAUUUGUAUAUAGGAAGUCCAGUUUCGGCCACCGGGAAAGUUUCGGGGGUCACCGGUAUUGUACCGGGACCACCGGAAGGGUCCCGGGGGUCCACCGGGUGGGGCCACCUAUCCCGGAGGGCCCCAUGGGCUGAAGUGGGAAGGGAACCAGCCCCUGGUGGGAUGGUGCGCCCCCCCAUGGGCCUCCCCCUGCGCCUAGGGUUGGAAACCCUGGGGGUGGGGGCGCCCCACCUGACUUGGGGGGCAAGUCCCCCUUGGCCGCCCCCCCCCCUUGAGAUGGGAUCUCCAGGGGCCGGCGCCCCCCCCCAGGGCCCCUAUAUAAAGAGGGGGGAGGGAGGGCUGCGCACCCAAGCCCCUGGCGCCUCCCUCUCCCCCCGUAACACCUUUCCCUCUCGCUGAGCUUGGCGAAGCCCUGCCGAGAUCCCCGCUGCUUCCACCACCACGCCGUCGUGCUGCUGGAUCUCCAUCAACCUCUCCUUCCCCCUUGCUGGAUCAAGAAGGAGGAGACGUCUCUCCCAACCGUACGUGUGUUGAACUUGGAGGUGCCGUCCGUUCGGCGCUAGGAUCAUCGGUGAUUUGGAUCACGACGAGUACGACUCCAUCAACCACGUUCUCUUGAACGCUUCCGCUCGCGAUCUACAAGGGUAUGUAGAUGCACUCCUUCCCUCUCAUUGCUAGUAAACUCCAUAGAUUGAUCUUGGUGAUGCGUAGAAAAUUUUAAAUUUCUGCUACGAUCCCCAACACCUGGUCCUUGGGUUUGCAAAUGUCGGGCCAGCUCACCAUAUGGUAUUUCUGCUUGUCACCCUUGCCUGCCCAGAUAAACCUGGACUGGUAUUUGGCGAUCUCCUGAUGGAGCGUCUCAUGAAGGUUGUAGAAGCUCAUGAGAAAUCAGAGUACGCUGGCAAGCGAGGAGUUGAUGAGGAUUGCCCGGGCCGCCUUCGAGAGCCACCUCCCCUUCCAGGGCUUUACUCGGUGCUGCAUCCGGGUCACUGUCGGGCAGAGGUCAGCCACGGUGAGUUGCGAGUCACUAAUGGGUAUCCCCAAAUAAGUCGUGGGGGAAGUACCCAGGCGACAGUUCAGUCGGUCAGCUAUGGCCUGGGCCUCCUCUGGGGGAUAGCCAAGGAUCAUCACUUCGCUCUUUAUCAAAGUUGAUUGUGAGCCCUGACAUCUGUUGGAAGCAUAGGAGGAGGAACUUCAGGUUGGCUAUGUUGGACGCGGAGCCCUCCACCAUUAUUAUGGUAUCGUCUGCAUAUUGUAGGAGGGAGACCCCUCCCCCUCCUACCAGGUGAGGGACUAUGCCGUGGAUAUGGCCAGCAGAUUUGGCCUUAUCCAGGAUGACAGCGAGGGCAUCGACCACCAUGUUAAACAGAAACAGGGAGAACGGGUCGCCCUGGCGAACCCCACAGAGAGUGGAGAAGUAUGGCCCGAUCUCACCGUUAAUGUUAACCGCGGUCCGACCGCAGGAGACGAGCUGCAUAACUCUGGUCACCCACCGGUCAUUAAAACCCUUGCGGAGCAAGACUUCCCGAAGGAAGGGCCAGUGAACCGUAUCAAAGGCUUUAUGGAAUUCGAGCUUCAGGAAGACUACUCGAUGGUUCUUGGACCGGACUUCAUGAAGAACUUCGUGGAAGACCAAUACCCCAUCCAGAAUAAACCACCCUUGAAUGAAGGCAGAUUGGUUGGGGUGAGUGACGGUGUCAGCUAGAAGGGUCACCCUAUUGGCAUACCCUUUGGCCAAGAUCCGGAAUAUCACAUUGAUCACAGUGAUAGGCCGAAACUGGCGGAUGUCAGAAGCGCCCGGAACUUUGGGGAUGAGAGUGAUGACCCCAUAGUUUAGGCGCCCAAGGUCCAUGGCCCCCGAGAAGAAUUCGUCGAAGAGGGCCAUGACUUUCGGUUUGAUGGUCUGUCAGAACGUUUUGAAAAACGUCACUGGCAGUCCAUCCGGACCCGGGGCCGAGGAGGGGUUCAUACCCUUUAUGGUGCGAGGACCUCGUCCUCAGAGAAAGGCAACAUUUGCCUCGUCGGACACUAACUGGUUAGCCGACCAAGUGUCGGGGGCUAGUGUGGCCCCACCCCGAGGGGUGGGGGGAAAUAGGGCUUUAUAAAAGCCAUCUAUGUGGACUCGGAUGUCCGAGGGACGGACGAGCUGGGAAUCUCCAUCCCACAAGCAAUGGAUGGAGUUCCAUCGUCGCCUUCCAUUGGCGAUCGCCUGGAAGUAAGCCGUAUUAGCGUCUCCACGGAGCACCCACCGUUGGGUGUCGCGGAGCCUCCAGUAUGCUUCUUCGUCCGUGUAGAUGGUCGAGAGCUGAUCCUCGAGAUCAUAUCUCAGCAUCCACUCAUCCAGGGAGAUCCCGGAAGUGUCAGCGCGGGUGUCCAGGGCUUGGAUGGCAGUCAGGAGGGCUUUCUUGCGUUCGCGGAGGUCUCGGCCAAGGUUCGUGCCCCACCCCUUCAUACAUUGGCGAGCGAGCUUGGCACAAAACUGCCACGAGUCAACGGCGGACAUGGAGCGGUGGGGAGAUGAGCGCGCGGCGAUCCACUUAGCCGCGACCGCCUCGAGGAAUCCCGCCUGGUUGAGCCAAAAGAGCUCAAACCGAAACCGCGGCGGGAUGAGGGGGCGCUCGUCGGCGGUGGAGAGGAGGAGAGGGACGUGGGCGGACCCGAUCUGGGUGAUCGCCGGCAGCGAGGCCAAGGGGCACCUAAGUUCCCAUUCCGGUGAAACUAGGACGCGAUCCAGGACGGAUCGCGUCGGGUCCGCUUGACGGUUUGUCCUGGUGAACCUGGCACCCGUCUGCUCUAGCUCGCGGAGGCCGAGCUCAGCGAUGCAAUCGUUGAACAGCUGCAUUCAGGGGAGGUUGAUCCGAUCAUUGUUCUUCUCAUCCGGGGAGCAGAUGAGGUUAAAGUCUCCUCCCACGACUAUAGGAAGGAGGGAUGCGGGGACCUUCUGUUGCUGCUCAACGAGGAAGGCCGGGGAGCGACGGUGAUCCGCCGGUCCAUAGACGAUCAUGACCUCCCAUUUGAAGUUGAGCACCCGUUCAAAGAUCUCCAUACUAAUGAAGAAUCCGCCCCGGUCCAUACCGCCCACCUCAAAGGUGGCAUCCUUCACUCCUAAAAGGAUGCCACCCGAGUGCCCAGUGGUCCCACUAGAAGGGAGCCAAGGCCAGGCAAAUAGGUGAGGGCUAAGACUAUCAAGCUCGGGUAGGGAAAACUCCGUAUGCAUGGUUUCCUGGAUGGCAAUGAUGUCAAUGUGCUCGUCUCGCAUGUACUCAAUGAGUUGGCGGCGACGGCCGCCAUGGCCGAAGCUGCGGAUGUUCCAGAAGAGGACUCACAUUUAAACCUCCAUCGGGAGCUGCUUGACCCCAGGACACGGGAGGCGCUCUGCGCCCGGAGGGCCGCAGUACGAGAGCGGGUGCGCCCACGGAUCAACUCUUCGGGCAUCGUCGGAACCACCACCGUCGAAGGGGUGGCGAUCGGUUCCGCGGGUUGGCGGCGGAGGCGCGCCCGUGUUUCAGCAAGUUUGCCAUCUAGGAUCUCGCGGGCCCGAAUGGCCUUGAUCUGCUCUAAGGGGGGUCCAACUUCCCCCCUGAAGACGAUGGCCGAGUCAGUGGCCACCCUGGCGAGGUGGCCAAAGGGAACGGCCUCGAGCGCGGAAAAGGAACAACUGAAGGAAAUAUGCCCUAGAGGCAAUAAUAAAGUUAUUAUUUAUUUCCUUUUAUCAUGAUAAAUGUUUAUUAUUCAUGCUAGAAUUGUAUUAACCGGAAACAUGAUACAUGUGUGAAUACAUAGACAAACAGAGUGUCAUUAGUAUGCCUCUACUUGACUAGCUCGUUGAUCAAAGAUGGUUAUGUUUCCUAGCCAUAGACAAAGAGUUGUCAUUUGAUUAACAGGAUCACAUCAUUAGGAGAAUGAUGUAAUUGACUCGACCCAUUCCAUUAGCUUAGCACUCGAUCGUUUAGUAUGUUGCUAUUGCUUUCUUCAUGACUUAUACAUGUUCCUAUGACUAUGAGAUUAUGCAACUCCCGUUUACCGGAGGAACACUUUGUGUGCUACCAAACGUCACAACGUAACUGGGUGAUUAUAAAGGUGCUCUACAGGUGUCUCCGAAGGUACUUGUUGGGUUGGCGUAUUUUGAGAUUAGGAUUUGUCACUCCAAUUGUCGGAGAGGUAUCUCUGGGCCCACUCGGUAAUGCACAUCACUUAAGCCUUGCAAGCAUUGCAACUAAUGAGUUAGUUGCGGGAUGAUGUAUUACGGAACGAGUAAAGAGACUUGCCGGUAACGAGAUUGAACAAGGUAUUGAGAUACCGACGAUCGAAUCUCGGGCAAGUAACAUACCGAUGACAAAGGGAACAACAUAUGUUGUUAUGCGGUUUGACCGAUAAAGAUCUUCGUAGAAUAUGUGGGAGCUAAUAUGAGCAUCCAGGUUCCUCUAUUGGUUAUUGACCGGAGACGUGUCUCGGUCAUGUCUACAUAGUUCUCGAACCCGUAGGGUCCGCACGCUUAAAGUUCGAUGACGGUUAUAUUAUGAGUUUAUGUGUUUUGAUGUACCGAAGGUUGUUCGGAGUCCCGGAUGUGAUCACGGACAUGACGAGGAGUCUCGAAAUGGUCGAGACGUAAAGAUCGAUAUAUUGGACGACUAUGUUUGGACACCGAAAUGGUUCCGGGAGGUUUUGGACAUUUAUCGGAGUACCGGGGGUUACCGGACCCCCCCCCCCCCCGGAAGCUAUUGGGCCUUAUGGGCCUUAGUGGAAAGGAGAGAGGGAGGCCAGGAGGUGGCGCGCGACCUCCCUUGCCCCAAUCCAAAUUGGGAAAGGGAAGGUGGCGGCGGCCCCCCCUUCUCCUUCCUUCUCUCCACCUCCUCCUUCCCCCUUCUCCUACUUGGAAUAGGAAAGGGGGGCCAAACCUACUUGGAGUAGGAUUGCCUCCCCCCUUGGCCGGCCCUCUCCUCCUCCCCCUUUAUAUACGGAGGAGAGGCGCACCCCAUAGACACGACAAUUGAUCUCUUGGAUCUUUUAGCCAUGUGCGGUGCCCCUCUCCACCAUAGUCCACCUCGAUAAUAUCGUAGCGGUGCUUAGGCGAAGCCCUGCGUCGGUAGAACAUCAUCAUCGUCACCACACCGUCGUGCUGACGGAACUCUCCCUCAAAGCUCGGCUGGAUCGGAGUUCGAGGGACGUCAUCGAGUUGAACGUGUGCAGAACUCGGAGGUGUCGUGCGUUUGGUACUUGAUCGGUCGGAUCGUGAAGACGUACGACUACAUCAACCGCGUUGUGCUAACGCUUCCGCUUUCGGUCUACGAGGGUACGUGGACACACUCUCCCCUCUCGUUGCUAUGCAUCACCAUGAUCUUGCGUGUGCGUAGGAUUUUUUUGAAAUUACUACGUUCCCCAACAGUGGCAUCCGAGCCAGGUUUUAUGCGUUGAUGUUAUAUGCACGAGUAGAACACAAGUGAGUUGUGGGUGAUACAAGUCAUACUGCUUACCAGCAUGUCACACUUUGGUUCGGCGGUAUUGUUGGAUGAAGCGGCCCGGACCGACAUUACGCGUACGCUUACGCGAGACUGGUUCUACCGACGUGCUGUGCACACAGGUGGCUGGCGGGUGUCAGUUUCUCCAACUUUAGUUGAACCGAGUGUGGCUACGCCCAGUCCUUGAGAAGGUUAAAACAACACUAACUUGAUGAACUGUCGUUGUGGUUUUGAUGCGUAGGUAAGAAUGGUUCUUGCUCAGCCCGUAGCAGCCACGUAAAACUUGCAACAACAAAGGAGAGGACGUCUAACUUGUUUUUGCAGGGCAUGUUGUGAUGUGAUAUGGUCAAGGCAUGAUGCUAUAUUCUAUUGUAUGAGAUGAUCAUGUUUUGUAACCGAGUUAUCGGGAACUGGCAUGAGCCAUAUGGUUGUUGCAUUAUUGUAUGCAAUGCAAUCGCCCUAUAAUUGCUUUACUUUAUCACUAAGCAGUAGCAAUAGUCGUAGAAGCAAUAGUUGGCGAGACAAGAACGAUGCUACGAUGGAGAUCAAGGUGUCGCGCCGGUGACGAUGGUGAUCAUGACGGUGCUUCGGAGAUGGAGAUCACAAGCACAAGAUGAUGAUGGCCAUAUCAUAUCACUUACAUUGAUUGCAUGUGAUGUUUAUCUUUUUAUGCAUCUUAUCUUGCUUUGAUUGACAGUAGCAUUAUAAGAUGAUCUCUCACUAAAUUUCAAGAUAAAAGUGUUCUCCGUGAGUAUGCACCGUUGCCAAAGUUCGUCAUGCCCAGACACCACGUGAUGAUCGGGUGUGAUAAGCUCUACGUCCAUCUACAACAGGUGCAAGCCAGUUUUGCACACGCAGAAUACUCAGGUUAAACUUGACGAGCCUAGCAUAUGCAGAUAUGGCCUCGAAACACUGAGACCGAAAGGUCGAGCAUGAAUCAUAUAGUAGAUAUGAUCAACAUAGUGAUGUUCACCAUUGAAAACUACUCCAUUUCACCUGAUGAUCGGUUAUGGUUUAGUUGAUUUGGAUCACAUGAUCACUUAGAUGAUUAGAGGGAUGUAUAUCUAAGUGGGAGUUCUUAAGUAAUAUGAUUAAUUGAAGUUAAAUUUAUCAUCAACGUAGUACCUGAUAGUAUUUUGCAUGUCUAUGUUUGUUGUAGAUAGAUGGCUCGUGCUGUUGUUCCGUUGAAUUUUAAUGCGUUCCUUGAGAAAGCAAAGUUGAAAGAUGAUGGUAGCAAUUACACGGACUGGGUCCGUAACUUGAGGAUUAUCCUCAUUGCUGCACAGAAGAAUUACGUCCUGGAAACACCGCUAGGUGCCAAACCUGCUGCAGGAGCAACACCAGAUGUUAUGAACGUCUGGCAGAGCAAAGCUGAUGACUACUCGAUAGUUCAGUGUGCCAUGCUUUACGGCUUAGAACCGGGACUUCAACGACGUUUUGAACGUCAUGGAGCAUAUGAGAUGUUCCAGGAGUUGAAGUUAAUAUUUCAAGCAAAUGCCCGGAUUGAGAGAUAUGAAGUCUCCAAUAAGUUCUACAGCUGCAAGAUGGAGGAGAAUAGUUCUGUCAGUCAGCAUAUACUCAGAAUGUCUGGGUAUAACAAUCACUUGAUUCAACUGGGAGUUAAUCUUCCGAAUGAUAGCGUCAUUGACAGAAUUCUUCAAUCACUGCCACCAAGCUACAAGAGCUUCGUGAUGAACUAUAACAUGCAAGGGAUGGAUAAGAUGAUUCCCGAGCUCUUCGCCAUGCUAAAGGCUGCGGAGGUAGAAAUCAAGAAGCAGCAUCAAGUGUUGAUGGUCAAUAAGACCACCAGUUUCAAGAAAAAGGGCAAAGGGAAGAAGAAGGGGAACUUCAAGAAGAGCAACAAACAAGUUGCUGCUCAAGAGAAGAAACCCAAGUCUGGACCUAAGCCUGAGACUGAGUGCUUCUACUGCUAGCAGACUGGUCACUUGAAGCGGAACUGCUCCAAGUAUUUGGCGGAUAAGAAGGAUGGCAAGGUGAACAAAGGUAUAUGUGAUAUACAUGUUAUUGAUGUGUACCUUACCAGAGCUCGCAAUAGCGCCUGGGUAUUUGAUACUGGUUCUGUUGCUAAUAUUUGCAAAUCGAAACAGGGACUACGGAUUAAGCGGACACUGGCUAAGGACGAGGUGACGAUGCGCGUGGGAAACGGUUCCAAAGUCGAUGUGAUCGCCAUAGGCACGCUACCUCUACAUCUACCUUCGGGAUUAGUAUUAGACCUAAAUAAUUGUUAUUUGGUGCCAACGUUGAGCAUGAACAUUAUAUCUGGAUCUUGUUUGAUGCGAGACGGUUAUUCAUUUAAAUCAGAGAAUAAUGGUUGUUCUAUUUAUAUGAGUAAUAUCUUUUAUGGUCAUGCACCCUUGAAGAGUGGUCUAUUUUUGAUGAAUCUCGAUAGUAGUGAUACACAUAUUCAUAAUGUUGAAGCCAAAAGAUGCAGAGUUGAUAAUGAUAGUGCAACUUAUUUGUGGCACUGUUGUUUGGGUCAUAUUGGUGUAAAGCGCAUGAAGAAACUCCAUACUGAUGGACUUUUGGAAUCACUUGAUUAUGAAUCACUUGGUACUUGCGAACCAUGCCUCAUGGGCAAGAUGACUAAAACGCCGUUCUCCGGAACUAUGGAGCGAGCAACUGAUUUAUUGGAGAUCAUACAUACUGAUGUAUGUGGUCCAAUGAAUGUUGAGGCUCGCGGCGGGUAUCGUUAUUUUCUCACCUUCACAGACGAUUUAAGCAGAUAUGGGUAUAUCUACUUAAUGAAACAUAAGUCUGAAACAUUUGAAAAGUUCAAAGAAUUUCAGAGUGAAGUUGAAAAUCAUCGUAACAAGAAAAUAAAGUUUCUGCGAUCUGAUCGUGGAGGAGAAUAUUUGAGUUACGAGUUUGGUCUACAUUUGAAACAAUGCGGAAUAGUUUCGCAACUCACGCCACCCGGAACACCACAGCGUAAUGGUGUGUCCGAACGUCAUAGUCGUACUUUACUAGAUAUGGUGUGAUCUAUGAUGUCUCGUACUGAUUUACCGCUAUCAUUUUGGGGUUAUGCUUUAGAGACGGCCGCAUUCACGUUAAAUAGGGCACCAUCAAAAUCCGUUGAAACGACGCCUUAUGAACUGUGGUUUGGCAAGAAACCAAAGUUGCCGUUUCUUAAAGUUUGGGGCUGCGAUGCUUAUGUGAAAAAGCUUCAACCUGAUAAGCUCGAACCCAAAUCGAAGAAAUGUGUCUUCAUAGGAUACCCAAAGGAAACUGUUGGGUACACCUUCUAUCACAGAUCCGAAGGCAAGACAUUCGUUGCAAAGAAUGGAUCCUUUCUAGAGAAGGAGUUUCUCUCGAAAGAAGUGAGUGGGAGGAAAGUAGAACUUGAUGAGGUAACAGAACCUGCUCCCUUAUUGGAAAGUAGUUCAUCACAGAAACCGGUUCCUAUGACGUCUACACCAAUUAGUGAGGAAGUUAAUGAUGAUGAUCAUGAAACUUCAGAUCAAGUUGUCACUGAACCUCGUAGGUCAACCAGAGUAAGAUCCGCACCAGAGUGGUACGGUAAUCCUAUUCUGGAGGUCAGGUUACUAGACCAUGACGAACCUAUGAACAAUGAAGAAGCGAUGGUGAGCCCAGAUUCCGCAAAAUGGCUUGAGGCCAUGAAAUCUGAGAUGGGAUUCAUGUAUGAGAACAAAGUGUGGACUUUGGUUGACUUGCCCGAUGAUCGGCAGGCCAUCGAGAAUAAAUGGAUCUUCAAGAAGAAGACGGACGUUGAUGGUAAUGUUACUGUCUAUAAACAUCGACUUGUUGGAGAAGGUUUUCGACAAGUUCAAGGGGUUGACUACGAUGAGACUUUCUCACCCGUAGCGAUGCUUAAGUCUGUCCGAAUCAUGUUAGCAAUUGUCGCAUUUUAUGAUUAUGAAAUUUGGCAAAUGGAUGUCAAAAUUGCAUUCCUGAAUGGAUUUCUAGAAGAAGAAUUGUAUAUGAUGCAACCGGAAGGUUUUGUCGAUCCAAAGGGAGCUAACAAAGUGUGCAAGCUCCAGCGAUCCAUUUAUGGACUGGUGCAAGCCUCUCAGAGUUGGAAUAAACGUUUUGAUAGUGUGAUCAAAGCAUGUGGUUUUAUACAGACUUUUGGAGAAGCCUGUAUUUACAAGAAAGUGAGUGGGAGCUCUCUAGCAUUUCUGAUAUUAUAUGUGGAUGACAUAUUGUUGAUCGGAAAUGAUAUAGAAUUUCUGGAUAGCAUAAAGGGAUAUUUGAAUAAGAGUUUUUCAAUGAAGGACCUCGGUGAAGCUGCUUAUAUAUUGGGCAUCAAGAUCUAUAGAGAUAGAUCAAGACGCUUAAUUGGACUUUCACAAACCAAAUACCUUGACAAAGUUUUGAAGAAGUUCAAAAUGGAUCAAGCAAAGAAAGGGUUCUUGCCUGUGUUACAAGGUGUGAAGUUGAGUAAGACUCAAUGCCCGACCACUGCAGAAGAUAGAGAGAAAAUGAAAGAUGUUCCCUAUGCUUCAGCCAUAGGCUCUAUCAUGUAUGCAAUGUUGUGUACCAGACCUGAUGUGUGCCUUGCUAUUAGUUUAGCAGGGAGGUACCAAAGUAAUCCAGGAGUGGAUCACUGGACAACGGUCAAGUACAUCCUAAAAUACCUGAAAAGGACUAAGGAUAUGUUUCUCGUUUAUGGAGGUGACAAAGAGCUCGUCGUAAAUGGUUACGUCGAUGCAAGCUUUGACACUGAUCCGGACGAUUCUAAAUCGCAAACCGGAUACGUGUUUUUAUUGAACGGUGGAGCUUUCAGUUGGUGCAGUUCUAAACAAAGCGUCGUAGCGGGAUCUACAUGUGAAGCGGAGUACAUAGCUGUUCGGAAGCAGCAAACGAAGGAGUCUGGAUGAAGGAGUUCAUAUCCGAUCUAGGUGUCAUACCUAGUACAUCGGGUCCAAUGAAAAUCUUUUGUGACAAUACUGGUGCAAUUGCUUUAGCAAAGGAAUCCAGAUUUCACAAGAGAACCAAACACAUCAAGAGACGCUUCAACUCCAUCCGGGAUCAAGUCCAGGUGGGAGACAUAGAGAUUUACAAGAUACAGACGGAUCUGAAUGUUGCAGACCCGUUGGCUAAGCCUCUUCCACGAGCAAAACAUGAUCAGCACCAAGGCUCCAUGGGUGUUAGAAUCAUUACUGUGUAAUCUAGAUUAUUGACUCUAGUGCUAGUGGGAGACUGAAGGAAAUAUGCCCUAGCGGCAAUAAUAAAGUUAUUAUUUAUUUCCUUUUAUCAUGAUAAAUGUUUAUUAUUCAUGCUAGAAUUGUAUUAACCGGAAACAUGAUACAUGUGUGAAUACAUAGACAAACAGAGUGUCACUAGUAUGCCUCUACUUGACUAGCUUGUUGAUCAAAGAUGGUUAUGUUUCCUAGCCAUAGACAAAGAGUUGUCAUUUGAUUAACGGGAUCACAUCAUUAGGAGAAUGAUGUAAUUGACUUGACCCAUUCCGUUAGCUUAGCACUCGAUCGUUUAGUAUGUUGCUAUUGCUUUCUUCAUGACUUAUACAUGUUCCUAUGACUAUGAGAUUAUGCAACUCCCGUUUACCGGAGGAACACUUUGUGUGCUACCAAACGUCACAACGUAACUGGGUGAUUAUAAAGGUGCUCUACAGGUGUCUCCGAUAAAGAUCUUCGUAGAAUAUGUGGGAGCCAAUAUGAGCAUCCAGGUUCCGCUAUUGGUUAUUGACCGGAGACGUGUCUCGGUCAUGUCUACAUAGUUCUCGAACCCGUAGGGUCCGCACGCUUAAAGUUCGAUGACGGUUAUAUUAUGAGUUUAUGUGUUUUGAUGUACCGAAGGUUGUUCGGAGUCCCGGAUGUGAUCACGGACAUGACGAGGAGUCUCGAAAUGGUCGAGACGUAAAGAUCGAUAUAUUGGACGACUAUGUUUGGACACCGAAAUGGUUCCGGGAGGUUUCGGACAUUUAUCGGAGUACCGGGGGUUACCGGNNNNNNNNNNNNNNNNNNNNNNNNNNNNNNNNNNNNNNNNNNNNNNNNNNNNNNNNNNNNNNNNNNNNNNNNNNNNNNNNNNNNNNNNNNNNNNNNNNNNNNNNNNNNNNNNNNNNNNNNNNNNNNNNNNNNNNNNNNNNNNNNNNNNNNNNNNNNNNNNNNNNNNNNNNNNNNNNNNNNNNNNNNNNNNNNNNNNNNNNNAGCUAUUGGGCCUUAUGGGCCUUAGUGGAAAGGAGAGAGGGAGGCCAGGAGGUGGCGCGCGAACCCCCUUGCCCCAAUCCGAAUUGGGAAAGGGAAGGGGGCGGCGGCCCCCCCUUCUCCUUCCUUCUCUCCACCUCCUCCUUCCCCCUUCUCCUACUUGGAAUAGGAAAGGGGGGCCAUACCUACUUGGAGCAGGAUUGCCCCCCCCCUUGGGCGCGCCUCUCCCCUUGGCCGGCCCUCUCCUCCCCCCUUUAUAUACGGAGGAGAGGGGCACCCCAUAGACACAACAAUUGAUCUCUUGGAUCUUUUAGCCGUGUGCGGUGCCCCUCUCCACCAUAGUCCACCUCGAUAAUAUCCUAGCGGUGCUUAGGCGAAGCCCUGCGUCGGUAGAACAUCAUCAUCGUCACCAUGCCGUCGUCCUGACGGAACUCUCCCUCAAAGCUCGGCUGGAUCGGAGUUCGAGGGACGUCAUCGAGUUGAACGUGUGCAGAACUCGGAGGUGCCGUGCGUUCGGUACUUGAUCGGUCAGAUCGUGAAGACGUACGACUACAUCAACCGCGUUGUGGUAACGCUUCCGCUUUCGGUCUACGAGGGUACGUGGACACACUCUCCCCUCUCGUUGCUAUGCAUCACCAUGAUCUUGCGUGUGCGUAGGAAUUUUUUUGAAAUUACUACGUUCCCCAACAACAACUGGAAGAACUGGGGUGAUGGAGUCCGCACCUGGCUCGAGGUUCUUGGCCGCGCCCGAAGCUCAGCACGCUCGAGGACGGAUGGGGCUGGGGAGUCCGCCGGACAAGGCGCAUCGAGGCGGGCACUGCGGUGGGAGGCAGUCACGCGUCAAAGUGGAGCGAGGCCACCGGGCGUACGCCACUGUCCGUGGGGGGUGCGCAGUGAUAGGGGUGGUCACGACGUCGGGCACCCCCACGGCCAGUGGUCCUGGAGAGGCAAGUGGGUCGUUAGGGGCCACCAGAGGAGGAGGUAGGGCAGGGGGCUCCAGGGUGCCCCCGGCCGAAUCCUCUGCGGGUGGAGUAGGGGGAGUCGCCGUGAGCGGGUUACCACCGUCGCUGAUACGUCUCCGUCGUAUCUAUAAUUUUUGAUUGUUCCAUGCCAAUAUUAUUCAACUUUCAUAUACUUUUUGGCAACUUUUUAUACUAUUUUUGGGACUAACAUAUUGAUCCAGUGCCCAGUGCCAGUUCCUGUCUGUUGCAUGUUUUGGUUUCGCAGAAUAUCCAUAUCAAACGGAGUCCAAACGGGAUAAAACGGAUGGAGCUUAUUUUUGGAAUAUUUGGAAAAUCUGGGAGAAAGAUCAACGCGAAACGGUGUCCGAGGUGGGCACGAGGUAGGGGGGCGCGCCCCACCCCCCUCGGCACGCCCCUGACCCUCGUGGGCCACCCGUAAGGCGGUUGAUGCCGUUCUUCGGCCGCAAGAAAGCUAAUUUUUGGUAAAAAAAUCACGGCGAAGGUUUCAGUCCAAUCGGAGUUACGGAUCUCCAUAUAUACACGAAACGGUGAAAGGGCAGCAGACCAGAACGCAGAAACAGAGAGAAACAGAUAGACAGAUCCAAUCUCGGAGGGGCUCUCGCCCCUCCCACGCCAUGGAGGCCAAGGACCAGAGGGGAAACCCUUCUCCCAUCUAGGGAGGAGGUCAAGGAAGAAGAAGACGAAGGGGCCCCCUCUCCCCUUCUCUUCCGGUGGCGCCGGAACGCUGCCGUGGCCAUCAUUAUCACCGCAAUCUUCACCAACAACUUCACCGCCAUCAUCACCAACUCUUCCCCCCUCUAUGCAGCGGUGUAACCUCUCUCUUACCCGCUGUAAUCUCUACUUAAACAUGGUGCUCAACGCUAUAUAUUAUUUUCCAAUGAUGUAUGGCUAUCCUAUGAUGUUUGAGUAGAUUCGUUUUGUCCUAUGGGUUAUUUGAUGAUCAAGAUUGGUUUGAGUUGCAUGUUUUAUUAUUGGUGCUGUCCUAUGGUGCUCUCCGUGUCGUGCAAGCAUGAGGGAUUCCCGCUGUAGGGUUUGCAAUAUGUUCAUGAUUUGCUUAUGGUGGGUGGCGUGAGUGACAGAAGCACAGACCCGAGUAAGUAGGUUGUUUGCGUAUGGGAUAAAGAGGACUUGAUGCUCUAAUGCUAUGGUUGGGUUUUACCUUAAUGAUCUUUAGUAGUUGCGGAUGCUUGCUAGAGUUCCAAUCAUAAGUGCAUAUGAUCUAAGUAGAGAAAGUAUGUUAGCUUAUGCCUCUCCCUCAAAUAAAAUUGCAAUAAUGAUUACCGGUCUAGUUAUCGAUUGCCUAGGGACAAAUAACUUUCUCGUAAAAAAAAGCUCUCUACUAAAACUAUUAGUUGUGUCUUUAUCUAAACAUCCCCUAGCUUUUAUUUACGUGCUCUUUACUUUCUUGCAAGCCUAUCCGAAAACACCUACAAAGUACUUCUAGUUUCAUACUUGUUCUAGGUAAAGCGAACAUUAAGCGUGCGUAGAGUUGUAUCGGUGGUCGAUAGAACUUGAGGGAAUAUUUGUUCUACCUUUAGCUCCUUGUUGGGUUCGACACUCUUACUUAUCGAAAGAAGCUACAAUUGAUCCCCUAUACUUGUGGGUUAUCAAGACCUUUUUCUGGCGCCGUUGCCGGGGAGCAAUAGCGUGGGGUGAAUAUUCUCGUGUGUGCUUGUUUGCUUUAUCACUAAGUAAUUUUUAUUUGCUGUUCUUAGUUGUUUUCUAUCUUUAGUUAUGGGUAGGAAACGCAAAAUACCAAAAAAAUAGUUGUACCUACUGAACCAAUGGUUGAAGAACCACUCAAAAUCUAUCAUACUCCUGAAGCUUAUUAAUUGGAUCAUCUUUGAUCCCUAUGUGCUCGUGCUGAAACCCCAACUAGCUUAGUUGAGGGCAGAUCUUUAGAUGAGCAUGCUUGUUAUGUUCGACACCGCAUAUCUGAAAAAGGGGAAAUUUUACUGGGUCAAAUUCAUCGUUUGCAAUGCUAUGCUUGGAAUUUAUGUGAAAUAUAUGAUAUUACCUGUUGUUCUGAAAACCCUAAGACACACCUUCCCUAUCAAUGUGAGUUUAGUGAUAAUGGAAUCGUAUCUUCGUAUGCUAAGGGUGUUUAUAGUUACUAUGAUAUUCAACAAAUUGAAGAAUUUGUUGCUUUUAAGGGUGCUUAUAAAAUUGCUUUUUUGAUUGAAACGUAUGGUGCUACUCUUCACAAAUCUGAAAAUUUUGCCAUACUUAAAUAUUGCUAUGAUAAUUAUGCUUCUAAUGCUUAUGUUGAACCAUAUAUUGAGGGUUACCCCGCUGUCCAAGAAGAGACUAAUAUUUUGAAGGAGUCUAUGGAAGAAGAAGUUGAUGAAACUGUGAGCUCAUUGGAUGAAAAAGAUGAGGAGAAGAGCGAAGAACUAAAGGAGGAAGAGCGGAUUAGCUACCCGUGCCCACCUUCUAAUGAGAGUAACUCUUCAACUCAUACAUUGUUUAAUUUCCCUUCGUGCUUACCGAAGGAUGAUUGCUAUGAUGACUGCUAUGAUCCCGUUGAUUCUUUUGAAAUAUCCCUUUUUGACGAUGCUUGCUAUGCUUGUGGCCAAGAUGCCAAUAUGAAUUAUGCUUAUGGAGAUGAACUUGCUAUAGUUCCUUAUGUUAUGAAUGAAAUUGUUGCUAUUGCACCCACACAUGAUAGUCCUAUUAUCUUUUUGAAUUCUCCCGAUUAUACUAUAUCGGGGAAGUUUGCACUUAUUAAGGAUUAUAUUGAUGGGUUGCCUUUUACCGUUACACAUGAUGAUUUUGACAGAUAUAAUAUGCAUGUUCUUGCUGCUCCUACUCGCAAUUAUUAUGAGAGAGGACCUAUAUCUCCACCUCUCUAUGUUUCCAACACGAUAAAAUUGCAAGAAACUGUUUAUACUAUGCAUUGGCCUUUACUAUGUGUGCAUGAAUUGUUCUUUUAUGACAUGCUGAUGCAUAGGAAGAGAGUUAGACUUCGUCAUUACAUGAUAUAUAUUACUUUGUGCUCAAUACUAAAUUACAAAUCAUUGCUAAUUAAAAUUGGCUUUGAUAUACCUUGGGAUCCGGGUGGAUUCACUACUUGAGCACUUUAUGCCUAGCUUAAUGGCUUUAAAGAAAGUGCUGCCAGGGAGACAACCCGGAAGUUUUAGAGAGUCAUUUAUUUCUGUUGAGUGCUUUCAUAUAGUUUAAAAACAACAAAAAUAAAGAGGGGAACCCAAAACUUUUCAAAAAGGAAAGUGAAAGUGAGAAAGACAAGCAUUGUUGAAGUGGGAGAGCUCCUUGAACUUUGUUCAUGCUCACGGCAACUUUGUGAAUCUUGAUUACAGAAACUUUUCAACAAAAAUAAUUAUCCCCUUGUACAAUUCCAUUGUAUUAUAAAAAUAAUGUGCCAAGGUUUGCCUUUAGGAUGUUUACAAUACUUGUUGGUUUGUACGGUGCAGGACAGAAACUUUGGCUGUAGUGCGCGAUUUUAAUUUUUUACUGGAACAUCAAAUGGUUCUGAUUCUUUUUGCACUGUCUUUCUAUACAAAUUUUUUAUUUUUCCUAAUUUUGGCAGAAGUUUUCAAGUAUCAGAAGUAUGGUGAAUGUUCAGAUUAUUACAGACUGUUCUGUUUUAGACAGAUUCUGUUUUUGAUGCAUAGUUUGCUUGUUUUGAUGAAACUAUCAAUUUAUAUCAGUGGAUUAAGCCAUGAAAAAGUUAUAUUACAGUAGACACAAUGCAAAAGCAAAAUAUGAAUUGGUUUUCAACAGUACUCAGAGUAGUGAUUUACUUUAUUAUACUAACGGAUCUUACCGAGUUUUCUGUUGAAGUUUUGUGUGGAUGAAGUGUUCGAUGAUCGAGAAGGUUUCGAUGUGAGAAGAAGGAAGAGAGGCAAGAGCUCAAGCUUGGGGAUGCCCGAGGCACCCCAAGUAAAUAUUCAAGGAGACUCAAGCGUCUAAGCUUGGGGAUGCCCCAGAAGGCAUCCCCUCUUUCUUCAACAAAUAUCGGUAUGUUUUCGGAUUCGUUUCAUUCAUGUGAUAUGUGCAAAUCUUGAAGCGUCUUUCGCAUUUAGUUUUCACUUUUCUUUUAUGCACCAUGCUGGUAUGAGAUAGUCCUUGGUUGAUUUAUAGAAUGCUCAUUGCACUUCACUUAUAUUUUUUGAGUAUGGCUUUAUAGAAUGCUUCAUGUGCUUCACUUAUAUCAUUUGAAGCUUGGAUUGCCUGUUUCUCUUCACAUAGACAACCGCCAUUUGUAGAAUGCUCUUUUGCUUCACUUAUAUUUGUUAGAGCGUGGGCAUAUCUUUUGUAGAAAGAAUUAAACUCUCGUGCUUCACUUAUAUCUAUUUAGAGAGAUGACAGGAACUGGUCAUUCACAUGGUUAGUCAUAAAACCCUACAUAAAACUUGUAGAUCACUGAAUAUGAUAUGUUUGAUUCCUUGCAAUAGUUUUGCGAUAUAAAGAUGGUGAUAUUAGAGUCGUGCUAGUUGAGUAAUUGUGAAAUUGAGAAAUACUUGUGUUGAGGUUUGCAAGUCCCGUAGCAUGCACGCAUGGUGAACCGUUAUGUAACGAAGUUGGAGCAUGAGGUGUUUAUUGAUUGUCUUCCUUAUGAGUGGCGGUCGGGGACGAGCGAUGGUCUUUUCCUACCAAUCUAUCCCCCUAGGAGCAGGCGCGUAGUACUUUGUUUCGAUAGCUAAUAGACUUUUGCAAUAAGUAUGUGAGUUCUUUAUGACUAAUGUUGAGUCCAUGGAUUAUACGCACUCUCACCCUUCCAUCAUUGCUAGCCUCUUCGGUACCGUGCAUUGCCCUUUCUCACCUCGAGAGUUGGUGCAAACUUCGCCGGUGCAUCCAAACCCCGUGAUACGAUACGCUCUAUCACACACAAACCUCCUUAUAUCUUCCUCAAAACAGCCACCAUACCUACCUAUUAUGGCAUUUCCAUAGCCAUUCCGAGAUAUAUUGCCAUGCAACUUCCAUCAUCAUCAUAUACAUGACUUGAGCAUUUAUUGUCAUAUUGCUUUGCAUGAUCGUAAGAUAGCUAGCAUGAUGUUUUCAUGGCUUGUCCAUUUUUUGAUGUCAUUGCUACGCUAGAUCAUUGCACAUCCCGGUACACCGCCGGAGGCAUUCAUAUAGAGUCAUAUCUUUGUUCUACAUAUCGAGUUAUAAUAUUGAGUUGUAAGUAAAUAAAAGUGUGAUGAUCAUCAUUAUUAGAGCAUUGCCCCAGUGAGGAAAGGAUGAUGGAGACUAUGAUUCCCCCACAAGUCGGGAUGAGACUCCGGACGAAAAAAAUAAAAAAGAGAAGGCCCAAAAAAAGAGAAAAAAGGAGAGAAAACAAAAAAAAUGAGAGAAAAAGAGAGAAGGGGCAAUGUUACUAUCCUUUUACCACACUUGUGCUUCAAAGUAGCACCAUGUUCUUCAUAUAGAGAGUCUCUUGAGUUAUCACUUUCAUAUACUAGUGGGAAUUUUCAUUAUAGAACUUGGCUUGUAUAUUCCAACGAUGGGCUUCCAAAUGCCCUAGGUCUUCAUGAGCAAGCAAGUUGGAUGCACACCACUUAGUUUCAGUUUGAGCUUUCAUACACUUAUAGCUCUAGUGCAUCCAUUGCAUGGCAAUCCCUACUUAUCACAUUGACAUCAAUUGAUGGGCAUCUGCAUAGCCCGUUGAUUAGCCGCGUCGAUGUGAGACUUUCUCCUUUUUUAUAUUCUCCACAUAACCCCCAUCAUCAUAUUCUAUUCCACCUAUAGUGCUAUGUCCAUGGCUCAAGCUCAUGUAUUGUGUGAAAGUUGAAAAAGUUUGAGAAACGUCAAAAGUAUGAAACAAUUGCUUGGCUUGUCAUCGGGGUUGUGCAUGAUGUGAAUAUUUUGUGUGGUGAAGAUGGAGCAUAGCCAGACUAUAUGAUUUUGUAGGGAUGAGCUUUCUUUGGCUAUGUUAUUUCAAUAAGACAUAAUUACUUGGUUGGUAUGCUUGAAGUAUUAUUGUUUUUAUGUCAAAGGAUAGACUAUUGCUUUGAAUCACUCGUGUCUUAAUAUUCAUGCCAUGAUUAGAUUACAUGAUCAAGAUUAUGCUAGGUAGCAUUCCACAUCAAAAAUUAUCUUUUUAUCAUUUACCUACUCGAGGACGAGCAGGAAUUAAGCUUGGGGAUGCUGAUACGUCUCCGUCGUAUCUAUAAUUUUUGAUUGUUCCAUGCCAAUAUUAUUCAACUUUCAUAUACUUUUUGGCAACUUUUUAUACUAUUUUUGGGACUAACAUAUUGAUCCAGUGCCCAGUGCCAGUUCAUGUCUGUUGCAUGUUUUUGGUUUCGCAGAAUAUCCAUAUCAAACGGAGUCCAAACGGGAUAAACACAGACGGAGCUUAUUUUUGGAAUAUUUGGAAAAUCUGGGAGAAAGAUCAACGCGAAACGGUGUCCGAGGUGGGCACGAGGUAGUGGGGCGCGCCCCUGACCCUCGUGGGCCACCCGUAAGGCGAUUGAUGCCCUUCUUCGGCCGCAAGAAAGCUAAUUUUUGGUAAAAAAAUCACGGCGAAGGUUUCAGUCCAAUCGGAGUUACGGAUCUCCAUAUAUACACAAAAUGGUGAAAGGGCAGCUGACCAGAACGCAGAAACAGAGAGAAACAGAGAGACAAAUCCAAUCUCGGAGGGGCUCUCGCCCCUCCCACGCCAUGGAGGCCAAGGACCAGAGGGGAAACCCUUCUCCCAUCUAGGGAGGAGGUCAAGGAAGAAGAAGACGAAGGGCCCCCCUCUCCCCUUCUCUUCCGGUGGCGCCGGAACGCUGCCGUGGCCAUCAUCAUCACCGCAAUCUUCACCAACAACUUCACCGCCAUCAUCACCAACUCUUCCCCCCUCUAUGCAGCGGUGUAACCUCUCUCUUACCCACUGUAAUCUCUACUUAAACAUGGUGCUCAACGCUAUAUAUUAUUUUCCAAUGAUGUAUGGUUAUCCUAUGAUGUUUGAGUAGAUUCGUUUUGUCCUAUGGGUUAUUUGAUGAUCAAGAUUGGUUUGAGUUGCAUGUUUUAUUAUUGGUGCUAUCCUAUGGUGCUCUCCGUGUCGCACAAGCGUGAGGGAUUCCCGCUGUAGGGUUUGCAAUAUGUUCAUGAUUUGCUUAUGGUGGGUGGCGUGAGUGACAGAAGCACAGACCCGAGUAAGUAGGUUGUUUGCGUAUGGGAUAAAGAGGACUUGAUGCUCUAAUGCUAUGGUUGGGUUUUACCUUAAUGAUCUUUAGUAGUUGCGGAUGCUUGCUAGAGUUCCAAUCAUAAAUGCAUAUGAUCCAAGUAGAGAAAGUAUGUUAGCUUAUGCAUCUCCCUCAAAUAAAAUUGCAAUAAUGAUUACCGGUCUAGUUAUCGAUUGCCUAGGGACAAAUAACUUUCUCGUAACAAAAAGCUCUCUACUAAAACUAAUUUAGUUGUGUCUUUAUCUAUACAGCGCCUAGCUUUUAUUUACGUGCUCUUUACUUUCUUGCAAGCCUAUCCGAAAACACCUACAAAGCAUUUCUAGUUUCAUACUUGUUCUACGUAAAGCGAACGUUAAGCGUGCGUAGAGUUGUAUCGGUGGUCGAUAGAACUUGAGGGAAUAUUUGUUCUACCUUUAGCUCCUCGUUGGGUUCGACACUCUUACUUAUCGAAAGAGGCUACAAUUGAUCCCCUAUACUUGUGGGUUCUUAGUCGCUGCCCGUGGGAGCCGAGGAGAUCGGUCCAAGGGGGGUGAGGGCGGCGGGCUCAGCGGAGUCGGGUGCAGGACGGAGUCGGCGGACGGAGAGCGGGGCGACGAGGGCGGGAGGACGAGCAAGCCCACACUGGAGAUGUCACUGGUCGCCUCCGACGAGGAUGGAGAGGCCGGAGGAGGGGCGGCCAGCCGGAGAG
rnacentral:lncRNA from 1 species